rnacentral:rRNA from 1 species
GAACUCAGAAGUGAAACGCCGUAGCGCCGAUGGUAGUGUGGGGUCUCCCCAUGCGAGAGUAGGGAACUGCCAGGC